AACGUAGGAGGCAAGCGUUAUCCGGAUUUACUGGGCGUAAAGCGCGUGCAGGCGGCAGGGCAAGUUGGAUGUGAAAGCUCCCGGCUCAACUGGGAGAGGUCGUUCAAGACUGCCCGGCUGGAGGAUGGUAGAGGGAGGUGGAAUUCCGGGUGUAGUGGUGAAAUGCGUAGAUAUCCGGAGGAACACCAGUGGCGAAAGCGGCCUCCUGGACCAAUCCUGACGCUCAGACGCGAAAGCUAGGGUAGCAAACGGGG
rnacentral:rRNA from 1 species